rnacentral:rRNA from 1 species
UCCUNUGGCUUAACUGGGGGCUUGCGGUGGGUACGGGCCGGCUUGAGUGCGGUAGGGGAGACUGGAACUCCUGGUGUAGCGGUGGAAUGCGCAGAUAUCAGGAAGAACACCGGUGGCGAAGGCGGGUCUCUGGGCCGUUACUGACGCUGAGGAGCGAAAGCGUGGGGAGUGAACAGGAUUAGAUACCCUGGUAGUCCACGCCGUAAACGUUGGGCACUAGGUGUGGGGGGCCUUUUCCGGGUUUUCCGCGCCGUAGCUAACGCAUUAAGUGCCCCGCCUGGGGAGUACGGCCGCAAGGCUAAAACUCAAAGGAAUUGACGGGGGCCCGCACAAGCGGCGGAGCAUGCGGAUUAAUUCGAUGCAACGCGAAGAACCUUACCAAGGCUUGACAUGUGCCGGUCGGCUCCGGAGACGGGGUUUCCUCCUUGUGGGGCCGGUUCACAGGUGGUGCAUGGUUGUCGUCAGCUCGUGUCGUGAGAUGUUGGGUUAAGUCCCGCAACGAGCGCAACCCUUGUCCCGUGUUGCCAGCACGUUGUGGUGGGGACUCGCGGGAGACUGCCGGGGUCAACUCGGAGGAAGGUGGGGAUGACGUCAAAUCAUCAUGCCCCUUAUGUCUUGGGCUUCACGCAUGCUACAAUGGCCGGUACAGAGGGCUGCGAUACCGUGAGGUGGAGCGAAUCCCUUAAAGCCGGUCUCAGUUCGGAUCGGUGUCUGCAACUCGACACCGUGAAGUUGGAGUCGCUAGUAAUCGCAGAUCAGCAACGCUGCGGUGAAUACGUUCUCGGGCCUUGUACACACCGCCCGUCACGUCAUGAAAGUCGGCAACAC